GGGCCUAUAGCUCAAAGGCAGAGCACACGCCUCAUAAGCGUUCGGUUGUAGGUUCGAAUCCUACUGGGCCCA
rnacentral:tRNA from 1 species